UACGUAGGGGGCCAGCGUUGCUCGGAAUUACUGGGCGUAAAGGGUUCGUAGGCGGUGUGGCAAGUCGGUAGUGAAAUCUCCAGGCUUAACUCGGAGGCUGCUGCCGAAACUGCCGUGCUAGAGUGCAGGAGAGGCGAGUGGAAUUACAGGUGUAGCGGUGAAAUGCGUAGAUAUCUGUAGGAAUACCGGUGGCGAAGGCGGCAUCCUGGACCGACAUUGACGCUGAACGGCGAAAGCUAGGGGAGCAAACGGG
rnacentral:rRNA from 1 species